CCUACGGGAGGCAGCAGUGGGGGAAUAUUGCACAAUGGGCGAAAGCCUGAUGCAGCGACGCCGCGUGAGGGAUGACGGCCUUCGGGUUGUAAACCUCUUUCAGCAGGGAAGAAGCGAAAGUGACGGUACCUGCAGAAGAAGCGCCGGCUAACUACGUGCCAGCAGCCGCGGGUAAUACGUAGGGCGCAAGCGUUGUCCGGAAUUAUUGGGCGUAAAGAGCUCGUAGGCGGCUUGUCACGUCGGGUGUGAAAGCCCGGGGCUUAACCCCGGGGUCUGCAUUCGAUACGGGCUAGCUAGAGUGUGGUAGGGGAGAUCGGAAUUCCUGGUGUAGCGGUGAAAUGCGCAGAUAUCAGGAGGAACACCGGUGGCGAAGGCGGAUCUCUGGGCCAUUACUGACGCUGAGGAGCGAAAGCGUGGGGAGCGGAACAGGAUUAGAUACCCUGGUAGUCCACGCCGUAAACGGUGGGAACUAGGUGUUGGCGACAUUCCACGUCGUCGGUGCCGCAGCUAACGGCAUUAAGUUCCCGCCUGGGGAGUACGGCCGCAGGCAAACUUAAAUGAAUUGACGGCUUGAGACGNGCGAGNGCGACGAGGGAGAGG
rnacentral:rRNA from 1 species